rnacentral:rRNA from 1 species
AGAACGAACGCUGGCGGCAUGCCUAAUACAUGCAAGUCGAACGAAGGCUUCGGCCUUAGUGGCGCACGGGUGCGUAACGCGUGGGAAUCUGCCCCUUGGUUCGGAAUAACAGUUGGAAACGACUGCUAAUACCGGAUGAUGACGAAAGUCCAAAGAUUUAUCGCCAAGGGAUGAGCCCGCGUAGGAUUAGCUAGUUGGUGAGGUAAAGGCUCACCAAGGCGACGAUCCUUAGCUGGUCUGAGAGGAUGAUCAGCCACACUGGGACUGAGACACGGCCCAGACUCCUACGGGAGGCAGCAGUAGGGAAUAUUGGACAAUGGGCAAAGCCUGAUCCAGCAAUGCCGCGUGAGUGAUGAAGGCCUUAGGUUGUAAAGCUCUUUUACCCGAGAUGAUAAUGACAGUAUCGGAGAAUAAGCCCCGGCAACUCCGUGCCAGCAGCCGC